rnacentral:rRNA from 1 species
UACGUAGGGUGCGAGCGUUGCCCGGAUUUAUUGGGCGUAGAGGGCGCGUAGGCGGCCACGCACGUCCGUUGUGAAAUCGCCCGGCUCAACUGGGCGGGGUCGGCGGAUACGGCGUGGCUGGAGCAAGCUAGGGGGCAAUGGAAUUCCCGGUGUAGUGGUGGAAUGCGUAGAUAUCGGGAGGAACACCAGUGGCGAAGGCGGUUGCCUGGAGCUUUGCUGACGCUGAGGAGCGAAAGCGUGGGGAGCGAACAGG